UACGGCUGCAUAAACAACUUUUUGUUUGCCAUUUCAGUAACUUGUUAUUUGAAUUUUGGACAUGGAGGAGACAGCUAUUGUUUCUAUAACUUCUCAUCACAUUUACUGUUUUUAUGCUUCAUAUCUGACAAGAGUGGGUGGGAGAGAAUAAUUUUUGCACUUAGUCUAGUUAAGCACAGGGAUUUAAUUAAAUUAUAAUGUUAUAGUCGGUCAUUUUUGUGCUUUGCGUAUGCAAUUACAGAAAUCUGUGGAUCUCCUGAUGUUCUUCAUGCUUGGUUUUUCUUGCAAGACCAGGUCUCUUUUUGUGCUUUUAUCUAGUUGAGUACUGAAAUUUUACAUAGCUGUUUCUGCUGUACGUGCUAAGUUUCUCUUGCAGUUCUUUGUCCUUUUAAAAUCAUGCAUUUCCUUGGGAGAUAUAAUUUUAGUGCUUAACAAGCAGUUGCUUUUGCCUUCACACUACCCAUAUCAGGAGUGAAUUUCUUUAUAAACUCUUUUUGCCUUCUAGCUCUAAUUCUAAAUCUUUAAACACAUCACAGAGGAGGGCUAUCAUGAAACCUGAUCCGGAGCCAGCAAAGGUGGUACAGAAGGAACCCACCUUCACCUGCCCUAUCUGCCUGAGCCCAUUGGUUGAAGCAUCAACAACUA
rnacentral:lncRNA from 1 species